rnacentral:rRNA from 1 species
UACAGAGACUGCAAGCGUUACUCGGAUUCACUGGGCGUAAAGGGAGCGCAGGCGGAGUCGUGUGUCGGAUGUGAAACCCGGGGGCUCAACUCCCGGACUGCGUCUGAAACUGCGAUUCUAGGGACUCGGAGGGGCUAGUGGAAUUCUUGGUGGAGCAGUGAAAUGCGUAGAUAUCAAGAGGAACACCAACGGCGAAGGCAGCUAGCUGGACGAGAUCCGACGCUCAGGCUCGAAAGUAUGGGGAGCAAAAAGG